rnacentral:rRNA from 1 species
GACGAACGCUGGCGGCGUGCUUAACACAUGCAAGUCGAACGGAAAGGCCCUGCUUUUGUGGGGUGCUCGAGUGGCGAACGGGUGAGUAACACGUGAGUAACCUGCCCUUGACUUUGGGAUAACUUCAGGAAACUGGGGCUAAUACCGGAUAGGAGCUCCUGCUGCAUGGUGGGGGUUGGAAAGUUUCGGCGGUUGGGGAUGGACUCGCGGCUUAUCAGCUUGUUGGUGGGGUAGUGGCUUACCAAGGCUUUGACGGGUAGCCGGCCUGAGAGGGUGACCGGCCACAUUGGGACUGAGAUACGGCCCAGACUCCUACGGGAGGCAGCAGUGGGGAAUAUUGCACAAUGGGCGGAAGCCUGAUGCAGCAACGCCGCGUGCGGGAUGACGGCGUUCGGGUUGUAAACAGCUUUCGCCUGUGACGAAGCGUGAGUGACGGGAAUGGGUAAAGAAGCACCGGCUAACUACGU